AGAAUCAACGCUGGCGGCGUGCCUAACACAUGCAAGUCGCACGAGAAAGGGGACUUCGGUCCUUGAAUAAAGUGGCGCACGGGUGAGUAACACGUGACUAAUCUACCCUCGAGUGGGGAAUAACUGAGAGAAAUCUUAGCUAAUACCGCAUAACACUUACGAGUCAAAGCAGCAAUGCGCUUGGGGAGGAGGUCGCGGCCGAUUAGCUAGUUGGCGGGGUAAUGGCCCACCAAGGCGAUGAUCGGUA
rnacentral:rRNA from 1 species